rnacentral:tRNA from 1 species
UCCUCCUUAGCCAAGUGGUAAGGCAUCACACUGUUAAUGUGACUAUCGCAAGUUCGAAUCUUGCAGGAGGAG